rnacentral:lncRNA from 1 species
CUCCAUCAAAUCUGAAAUCCACAUUUUGGGACCAGGAAGCACACUUGAUAAAGCCUCCAAAAUCAAAAAAAUUAAAACCUGAAACUCCUCUUGGGCAGCCAAGAGGGGGCGCUCAAAACAGGGGCAUGCAAAAGAGACAGCGCUGGUUUCUUUCUUUCCUUUUUGGGUUGGUGGCCAAGAAACCCUAGGUUUCUUGGUUCUAGGGUAUGGAGAAGAUGAGA